rnacentral:rRNA from 1 species
GGCAGCAGGCACGCAAAUUACCCACUCCCGGCACGGGGAGGUAGUGACAAAAAAUAACGAUACGGGACUCUAUUGAGGCCCCGUAAUCGGAAUGAGUACACUUUAAAUCCUUUAACAAGGAUCCAUUGGAGGGCAAGUCUGGUGCCAGCAGCCGCGGUAAUUCCAGCUCCAAUAGCGUAUAUUAAAGUUGUUGCGGUUAAAAAGCUCGUAGUUGGUUCUGCGUGCCGCGCUGUCGGUUCGCCGCCUGUCGGUGUAACUGGCAUGUCGCGGCAUGUCCUGUCGGUGGUGAGCAGGGUCCACGAUACUACUUUGGCUUCUUUAGUCAAUGUUAGUGCCGUGUGUACUUUUGUUCGCCGAUCUCUCCUACUUCGGUGCUCUUAAACGAGUGUCGAGGUAGGCCGACACGUUCACUUUGAACAAAUUAGAGUGCUUAAAGCAGGCUGAAAUAUCUGCUUGAAUAGUGGUGCAUGGAAUGAUAAAACAGGACCUCAGUUCUAUUUUGUUGGUUUUAGGAAUAUGAGGUAAUGAUCAAUAUGGACUGGCGGGGGCAUUCGUAUUGCGACGUUAGAGGUGAAAUUCUUGGAUCGUCGCAAGACGCACUAGAGCGAAAGCAUUUGCCAAGUAUGUCUUAAUUGAUCAAGAACGAAAGUUAGAGGUUCGAAGGCGAUCAGAUACCGCCCUAGUUCUAACCAUAAACGAUGCCAGCCAGCGAUCCGCCGAUGUUCCUUUAAUGACUCGGCGGGGAGCUUCCACCCGGAAAACCAAAGCUUUUGGGUUCCGGGGGAAGUAUGGUUGCAAAGCUGAAACUUAAAGGAAUUGACGGAAGGGCACCACCAGGAGUGGAGCCUGCGGCUUAAUUUGACUCAACACGGGAAACCUCACCAGGCCAGGACAUUGGAAGGAUUGACAGAUUGAUAGCUCUUUCUUGAUUCAGUGGGUAGUGGUGCAUGGCCGUC